rnacentral:rRNA from 1 species
AACGAACGCUUGCGGCGUGGAUAAGACAUGCAAGUCAAACGAGAGAAUUGCUAGCUUGCUAAUAAUUCUCUAGUGGCGCACGGGUGAGUAACACGUGAGUAACCUGCCCCCGAGAGCGGGAUAGCCCUGGGAAACUGGGAUUAAUACCGCAUAGUAUCGAAAGAUUAAAGCAGCAAUGCGCUUGGGGAUGGGCUCGCGGCCUAUUAGUUAGUUGGUGAGGUAACGGCUCACCAAGGCGAUGACGGGUAGCCGGUCUGAGAGGAUGUCCGGCCACACUGGAACUGAGACACGGUCCAGACACCUACGGGUGGCAGCAGUCGAGAAUCAUUCACAAUGGGGGAAACCCUGAUGGUGCGACGCCGCGUGGGGGAAUGAAGGUCUUCGGAUUGUAAACCCCUGUCAUGUGGGAGCAAAUUAAAAAGAUAGUACCACAAGAGGAAGAGACGGCUAACUCUGUGCCAGCAGCCGCGGUAAUACAGAGGUCUCAAGCGUUGUUCGGAAUCACUGGGCGUAAAGCGUGCGUAGGCUGUUUCGUAAGUCGUGUGUGAAAGGCGCGGGCUCAACCCGCGGACGGCACAUGAUACUGCGAGACUAGAGUAAUGGAGGGGGAACCGGAAUUCUCGGUGUAGCAGUGAAAUGCGUAGAUAUCGAGAGGAACACUCGUGGCGAAGGCGGGUUCCUGGACAUUAACUGACGCUGAGGCACGAAGGCCAGGGGAGCGAAAC